ACUGCAUAAACACACAGCUGAAAACUUGCACGGCUUGAGGAGUGGAUACAAAAGAAUCUGGAGCUCGCAUGAAGGAUCACAUUGUUUCUCUGCACCGAUUCACACCGAACGGAAUUGAUAUCAAUCUGAGACGGCGCGGGCUGAUAUUUCUCUGAUUCGGCUUCAGGAUGAUGAAGUUUAGGUUCAGACGGCAGGGAAACGACCCUCAUCGAGAGAAAAUCAAACAGGAUCUGUUUGCAUUCAGUAAGACAGUUGAACAUGGAUUCCCAAACCAGCCAAGUGCUUUGGCCUAUGAUCCCAAACUGCAGCUUAUGGCCAUUGGAACUAAAUCAGGGGCCAUCAAAAUGUAUCCUUUUGUGA